rnacentral:tRNA from 2 species
GGAGAGGUGGCAGAGUGGUUUAAUGCAGCCGUCUUGAAAACGGCCGUGGCGAAAGUCACCGGGAGUUCGAAUCUCCCCCUCUCCGCCA